rnacentral:sRNA from 1 species
AGAUCGGCUCCGUGCAGUUGCCAGACCCCCGACCCGGCAACCGCACGGAGCCGUCUU